CGUAAGAGCGAAUUACGCUAGUUUUGGGUGAAAAGGGGUCAUUGACCCCGUACCCUCAAGGUAUUCCGCAUCCGAGAGCCACAGUAAUAAGCCACGGGACGCAACAACAGCAAAAGAGGGUCGUGCGGGACGUGAUUAUUACUCUACGGUUCGCCCGAAGCCACUCUCCAAAGGAAGAAGUAGCACCAUGCGAACGAUAAGCGAUUUGCCAACCGAAUUCCAUUGCCGUAGGUAAGCAACACAGGAAACCCACAAAUGCGGCCAAGGCUUGUCUUGCUCUUGGGCCAACAAGUGAAGAGAAUAGCACGGGAGGACGUCAUUGCCCGAGCAAGGAUCCAA
rnacentral:misc_RNA from 1 species